rnacentral:misc_RNA from 1 species
GAUGAAGAACGUAGCGAAAUGCGAUACGUAAUGUGGAUUGCAGAAUUCAGUGAAUCAUCGAGUCUUUGAACGCACAUUGCGCCCCCUGGUAUUCCGGGGGGCAUGCCUGUCCGAGCGUCAUUGCUGCCCUCAAGCACGGCUUGUGUGUUGGGCCUCCGCCCCCCGGCUCCCGGGGGGCGGGCCCGAAAGGCAGCGGCGGCACCGCGUCCGGUCCUCGAGCGUAUGGGGCUUCGUCACCCGCUCCGUAGGCCCGGCCGGCGCCCGCCGGCGACCCCCCUCAAUCUUUCCAGGUUGACCUCGGAUCAGGUAGGGAUACCCGCUGAACUUAAGCAUAUCAAUAAGCGGGGA